ACUCUAUUUCUUGCUGGUGUAGUAAACUCAAGAAGAUUCCAAAGGCCUUAUGAGCAUGCUCUGCUACUAAUAAAGAAAGCUGAGGGGAACUCACCACACUCCUUAACUGCCAUAUUCAUGGAUCCUCUAUUGCUAAUCUUCACCACAUGUUAGCAAUAACACUGGUAAUGGCUGGGGUUACACAAAUACUGCCUCAAAGGACUGGAAAUGACUUAUCCAACACAACACCAGCCAGACUUACAGUAGAAUGCAUUAAAUUCCAUGGCAGCUAUGCUGUGAAAAAAUAUGGAGAAAUGCAGGCCUCAAGGAGCUUAUACAAAUUCAACUCCUAGUUAAUAAAAGGUUGCAAGCAGAACCUUGGAUGCCCUGCAGAGCAGAGACACUUUGCAAUGAUUGCUUGAGCCUUGUCUCCAGGGAAAACUGACUCACGAGAAGAAGACCACAGAGAUUUACUAAUUCAGGCUAGUUAGCUUCUUUAUUACAUUUGGUUUAAAGUGUGGUAUUCUAACUUUUC